UACGUAGGGUGCAAGCGUUAAUCGGAAUUACUGGGCGUAAAGCGUGCGCAGGCGGUUUUGUAAGUCUGUCGUGAAAUCCCCGGGCUUAACCUGGGAAUGGCAUUGGUGACUGCACGGCUAGAGUGUGUCAGAGGGGGGUAGAAUUCCACGUGUGAGCAGUGAAAUGCGUAGAGAUGUGGAGGAAUACCGAUGGCGAAGGCAGCCCCCUGGGAUAACACGUGACGCCUGCAUAG
rnacentral:rRNA from 1 species